CUCAGUUCUUCAGAGAGUUAUUACAUGCAGCAUCAAGUACAAGUUAAACCUACAGCUACAAAAACAUUAUCGUUAUGUACCUAUAUGUUUCCUUUUAUUUAGCGUAAUAGUGUAUAAUUCAACAGAUUAUCACGUCGCAUCUGCGACAUUUAAAUAUUAAAUAAGGGACACACAUGUCUAACACAACUGGUAUCGUCAAGUGGUUUAACGAAGAGAAAGGUUUCGGUUUCAUCACUCAAGACAACGGCGGCGCUGACGUAUUCGUACAUUUCCGUGCAAUCGCUUCAGAAGGCUUUAAAACGCUUGCUGAAGGUCAAAAAGUUUCUUUUGAAGUAGAGCAAGGCCAAAAAGGUCUUCAAGCUGCAAACGUUGUAGCUAUAUAAUUCUUUAAUAAAAAGAAAUGAUAGAAGGUCGCCUUGGCGGCCUUUUUUGU
rfam:Photobacterium profundum SS9